UCAUUAAGUUUAAGUGUAUACUUAAGAAAAGUAUAAGGAUGAACCCCUAGUAACAACGAGCACACCGAGAAUAGCCCAACAUGGUCCCUUGAAUUUUAGUAUGUAGAAGCGUCCUUAGCGACGAACUAGACCCAAGUCCCCUAGAGCGGGGGUGCCUGAGAGGGUGACAAUGUUGUGGACCUUGUCGCACCAUGAGGCAUUGUCGACUAAGUUGUUUGGAAAUGCACUAUUAAAUGGGUGGUAAAUUCUAUCUAAUACUGAAUACAAGUGAGACACUAAUAGUGACCAGAUACUAUGAGG
rnacentral:ncRNA from 1 species